CAGUAGCCGCGGUAAUACGUAGGGUGCGAGCGUUAAUCGGAAUUACUGGGCGUAAAGCGUGCGCAGGCGGUUCGUUAAGACAGACGUGAAAUCCCCGGGCUCAACCUGGGAACUGCAUUUGAGACUGUAUGGCUAGAGUGUGUCAGAGGGGGGUAGAAUUCCACGUGUAGCAGUGAAAUGCGUAGAUAUGUGGAGGAAUGCCGAUGGCGAAGGCAGCCCCCUGGGAUAACAUUGACGCUCAUGCACGAAAGCGUGGGGAGCAAACAGGAUUAGAUACCCCCGUAGUCCCUGUCUCUUAUAC
rnacentral:rRNA from 1 species